AGUUUGAUCCUGGCUCAGAUUGAACGCUGGUGGCAUGCCUUACACAUGCAAGUCGAACGGUAACGGGCCUUCGGGUGCCGACGAGUGGCGAACGGGUGAGUAAUGCAUCGGAACGUACCUUCAGUGGGGGAUAACGUAGCGAAAGUUACGCUAAUACCGCAUAUUCUGUGAGCAGGAAAGCAGGGGAUCGCAAGACCUUGCGCUGAUUGAGCGGCCGAUGUCAGAUUAGCUAGUUGGUGAGGUAAAGGCUCACCAAGGCGACGAUCUGUAGCGGGGUCUGAGAGGAUGAUCCGCCACACUGGAACUGAGACACGGUCCAGACUCCUACGGGAGGCAGCAGUGGGGAAUUUUGGACAAUGGGGGCAACCCUGAUCCAGCCAUGCCGCGUGAGUGAAGAAGGCCUUCGGGUUGUAAAGCUCUUUCGGCCGGGAAGAAAUCGUAUGGGCUAAUACCCUGUGCGGAUGACGGUACCGGCAUAAGAAGCACCGGCUAACUACGUG
rnacentral:rRNA from 1 species